rnacentral:lncRNA from 1 species
CUGUGGGACUGAAACCCUUGUUUCCUCACUGACUGUCAGCUGGGGCCACUCUCAGCUCCUCAGGCACCUGCACCUGCAUUCUUCUCCCAGGGCCACAUCCAUCUUUAAAGUCAGUGAUGGCAGUGAGCCCAGUCCUUUGCAUGCCCUGAAUCUGUCUGACUGCCCUUUGCACCAGCUGGGGAAAGCUCCCUGCUUCACCAAAUAUGUGGUGAGAUGAAGCCCCUGCCAGGUAACAACACAAUCAUAGGAGCAGCACCAGGUUCAGCGGCAUCCUUAAAACUCUGCUGUCUCAAACUACCUCCAUCCCCAGCAGACACUCCAGGAGGCCUAGAGGAGAAGCCAUCCCUGUAGGGGGAGCCAGGAAGACAGGGCCGGCCGCUUCUUCCCACCAGUGGUGCUUCUGGCAGGCCAAGCCCAUCAGAGCACCUGGGGAGAGCCUGGGCCCCAUCUUAGGACCCAGCCUGCAGUGCACAAAGGAGCUGAGCCAUGGAUGGAGGAAACGUUUAGAAGAAUGACUGUAAGCUGCAAACAGACUUGGUCUUGCGCUUUUCCUCAAGCACUGCAAUUCUGUUAGAACACUGCCUGUUUAGCUACUUAACAUCAAAGUGUCAGAGACUUUUGAACUGGAGUGACUCCAUUUUGCGUGAGGGCUGGGAAAUGAGGCUGGGACCCGCUGAGCUGCAUUCCCGGAAAGAAAGGCAUUCCUGGCCUCUAGAUGUUUACCACGAAGGGAACAGAUUAAUGUUUACUAAACAGACCCAGGCUUGAGAGUGUCCUAAUAUCCUGAUAUCUUGAGAACAAAGGCAUUCCUAAUUUUGCUUUAAAGAUAAUCAUAUGAAUUCUUGCAAAAUAUAGUAAUUAAGAAAAUUAAUACUUUAUCACAAACCCUUGUAGCAGAGCACAUCUCCCCAUGACCUUUUUUAUCCUAUACAUAAACAAGCGUUGUACCUAGGGUGGACGCGUUCCUCCUCUCACUGUCGGGAACAUCCUGCUCUGUCUACAGAAUAGCUGUUCUUUCACCACUGUACUCUCUUAAUAAACUUGCUUUUACUUUGCACUGUGGACUCGUCCUGAAUUCUUUCUUGUGCGAGAUCCAGGAACCCUCUCUUGCGGUCUGAAUGGGGAC